CCUGCUCGCCUGAAAUAAAAUUUCAACUGUCUUUUUGCCUUCACUGAUCACUCUCCUAAGUUCAUUUCUUCAGAAUGAUGAGUCCUGCCCAGUUUCUGUUUCUGCUAGUGCUCUGGGUUCAAGAAGCCAGCGGUGAUGUUGUGAUGACCCAGACUCCAGUGUCUUUGUCGGUUACCAUUGGACAACCAGCCUCCAUCUCUUGCAAGUCAAGUCAGAGCCUCUUAGAUAGUAAUGGAAAGACAUAUUUGAAUUGGUUACUACAGAGGCCAGGGCAGUCUCCAAAGCGCCUCAUCUAUCUGGUGUCCAAACUGGACACUGGAAUCCCUGACAGGUUCAGUGGCAGUGGAUCAGAGACAGAUUUUACACUUAAAAUUAGCCGUGUGGAGUCUGAGGACUUGGGGGUUUAUUACUGCUUGCAAGGUACAUAUUUUCCUCACACAGUGACACAGAGCCUAACAAAAACUUCCUUGCCUAGGGCCACACAGCUGGCAAUGUGUCCCUUGACUGGAGAGGAGCAGAGCACUGGAUAA